rnacentral:rRNA from 1 species
AUUGAACGCUGGCGGCAGGCUUAACACAUGCAAGUCGAACGGCAGCGCGGGCAGAGGCUUGGCGGACGGUGGCCGAGGGGCGGGUAAGUCAUGAGUACAUGGCCAGCUACGGGGGCUAGGGCGGCGACGGACGGAUUCAUACGGCAAAAGACCUGAGGGUGUAAGGGGGGGAGCAAGAGGCCUCCGGACAUUGGGGCGGCCGAUGAGCCGAUGUCGGAUUAGCUAGUUGGUGGGGUAAAGGCGCACCAAGGCGACGAUCCGUAGCUGGGCUGAGAGGACGAUCAGCCACACUGGGACUGAGACACGGCCCAGACUCCUACGGGAGGCAGCAGUGGGGAAUUUUGGACAAUGGGGGCAACCCUGAUCCAGCCAUGCCGCGUGCGGGAAGAAGGCCUUCGGGUUGUAAACCGCUUUUGUUCGGGAAGAAAUCCUCUGGGCUAAUACCCCGGUGUGAUGACGGUACCGGAAGAAUAAGCACCGGCUAACUACGUG